GCCUAUGUUUGACCUAUAGCUUCUUAACGAACUUUUUAAAUAUCUUCUUAACGAACUUUUUAAAAAAUACAUAUUUAAAAAGUUCAUAUUUAAAAAAGUUCGUUAAGAAGCUAUAGGUCAAACAUAGGC